CUACGGGAGGCAGCAGUAGGGAAUAUUGGACAAUGGGCGAAAGCCUGAUCCAGCAAUGCCGCGUGAGUGAUGAAGGCCUUAGGGUUGUAAAGCUCUUUUACCCGGGAUGAUAAUGACAGUACCGGGAGAAUAAGCCCCGGCUAACUCCGUGCCAGCAGCCGCGGUAAUA
rnacentral:rRNA from 1 species